rnacentral:lncRNA from 1 species
UGUAUGUAGGGGAUAUUAAUUAAUCCAUGCCCUUAUAUUUAUUUUUCUACAUAAAUUACUGGAGGCCUGAGAUGAAAGUUACUCCAGUUGAAGGCAGCCAAAAAUUUCCAGCAAUGAACCUAUCAACUGUAAAUUUGGCAGCUUCAUCACGCCCCAUAACAUGGAAUCCUGGCCAGGUUACCCUCCCGGAAGUUCCAGCUCCGGGUCCGACAUUUGCAUACUCGGCAAAAUACAACGAUUUUGAGUAACCCCCUUCUCCGGGCCAUUCGACCCAACCUCUUGAAGCGAUGGCAUUGUCUAUUGUUGAUUCCAUGACUACUGCUCGAGAAUAUUGUUUCCAGGGCCUACCAAGAUAUGAUUCAAAGCUAUGUUUAACGGGAGAAAAAUCUGAGCUUGGCACUAUCCGACAAUUCUGAACCGAGAAGCCGGU